rnacentral:lncRNA from 1 species
GGGAGAGGCCACAACAGUGAGAAGCCCGUGUACCACAAAAAAAAAAAAAAAAAAAGAGCAAUAAUCAUGUAUGUGGUCAGCAAUAACUUCUGAUAGUGGGAAAAUGGCUCUUGGAACUUAUUGCAAGUUUGAACUCAGUAUUUCAUAGAUAGAAAAUGGGUUAUUUAUCUAGUUAUCAAAUCGUAUACUUUAAAAAUGUUAUAUUCAAUCUCUUUUUUUGUCCCUUAAUCUCUCUGGCAAAUGAUACAGCUUUCUGAUAACUUUCAGGGGUUAAAGACUUCAGUGUAGCACAAUGUAAUGGUUUUUCCUGCCUCAUGACCUCAGACCUAACCCAUGGCCCAGGAACCUGCAUAAGUCUGGAGGAAUACCUGCAAACUCCUUGGCGCUUCAGUAGAAAUGUUAAGGUGCCGUGGAGAGGGACUAUGAUGGAGACUAACUUCCUGGUGCCCAAGAGGCAGAAGCUUCAAAGCUCAUGCUUGGAAACUGCCUCACCUCGCUGUUCCCUGAGUCUCAGCGUAAUCUCCGUUCCAUCUUCUAAAGUCUGCUGAACACUUCUCAGCUUCAUUCAGCUCCUGCUGAGAUGUCCUGCCAGCAAAACCAGCAGCAGUGCCAGCCCCCUCCCAAGUGUGCCCCCAAAGGCCC